CUCGGUGCCCUCACAACACAUUUAAGGCUUCUAACUCUCCCCCGGAUCAAAUGCAGCCAGGAAGCGGCGAGAAACACUGGCCACUCAGAUUAGAACCAGUUUCUGCUCGCAGUUGUAGCCGAGCUGUCGCUGGAGGGAUGUUUUAAAAGAUAAAUAAGAACCCAGCUACACAAGAUGCCACCAUUUCCUUUCUGAGGAGGCGACAAUGCGCCAACGAGUCUCCAGAAGGGCCCGGGUGACAUUUUUAUUAUUAUGGAUGUGCCCACGCAGAUGAGAGGAGGGGAGAAGGCCACCCGAGAGUUUUCUUCACGUCGAAUCAAGAGGAAGGGAGAAAGAAACAUACAGCUUUUAUUCAGUAUUUGAGUUUAUCUGCAGCCCCAUUUUGUAAUUGAAUAUUGAAUAUGGUCACUGGUUUCACAUUAUUUUGUAUGCCUGAAUAUUAUACGAAUAUAUAGAUUUACCAAUUAUCACACACGGUUUAUUAUUUUACCAAUUGUCUAUAAAUGUAUUUUUCAUUUAUUUUGUUAUCCACUCUGGAAUUUUAUACCGUCAUGAAAUAUAUAACACCAGUAACAAUAAUUAAUUCGAUUUUUAUAUUAUUAUUUUUAUUUUUGUAUUUAUUUUUGUGAUCAUAUGAAAUGUUUUUAUGUGUGUCUAAAUUAAAACUACAAGCUCUGCUGCAAUUAU